rnacentral:lncRNA from 1 species
CCGCACUUGGUGACGGGGACACGUGGGUGGCCACGGAUGGGGGUGUCCGGGGGGGGGUCAGGGGUUGGGUUCCAGCAGGAGGGGGGCCCUGGAUGUCCCCCCCCUCCCCGUUCCCAUCCCAAAUCUCGCUGGCAGCCGCUCGGGGUCUGCUGUGGGGCAGGCGUUUCCCAUGCGCUCCCCGUUCCCCAUUGGGGUGCUCGGGGGCAGAGCCGGGGAUUGGGGCAAACCUGCUCGGGUGGGGGGGGUGCGGGGGAGGCAGCGAAUUCCCACAGGAGCUCGGGAGGGCCCUGGCUCCCUGGGGGGGCGGAAAACAGCCCCCGGCGCCUCUCCUGCCCCUCCCCAUGAAGCUGGGUGCGCUCCCCGGGGAGCCGGAGCUGUGCCGAGCAGCCACGGGGACCCCGCUGCCAUGAGGGACGUGCUGGGGGGGGCCCUGUGGGACAGCCCGGCCUGGGAACAGGUAUGGGAUUGGGGGGGGGGGGGGGGGCGGGGGGGGGGGGGGGGGGGGGGGGGGGGGGGGGGGGGGGGGGCUGCUUUCUGCUGCUGAGCCAAAUUUUAUCCCCCCCCCCUCUCCAGGGAAAGUCCUCGUGGUUGUGUGUAGGGAUGGGGGGGGGGGGGGGGGGUCCUUGGGCGGCGUGGCGGGGGGGGGGGGGCGAUUUGCUGACACCCCCAGCUCUGCUCUGCCCCCCCCUCUGCUUCCUGGGGUCCCAAAGUGAUGCUGGAGGUUGGGGGGGGGGUCCCUUGGGGGUUACAUCAAGGAGCUGCUUGGCAGGGUGUCCCCUCCCCAAGGACCCCAAGGACCCCAUGGACCCCCCCCCCCUCCAUUGCCCCCCCCACUUUGCUCCAGCUGGGUGCAGGUGGCUGGGGGCACCCACGGGUGGCAGUGGGGUCCCCUGUUCCACCCGCACCCGUGGCGGGGUGGUGGUGCUGGGGAGCAGCCCCGUGCCCCUCAGACCACCCGGGGGGGGUCCUUGGCAGGGGGGGGGCAGGAUCCAUUCUCGCCGCCCCCUCCCAGCAGUUGUGGGUGCCGGCACCUCCCGUUCCCAGGGCUCGGCCCCCGGAGCCGUGCCAGCAGCUGGGGGCGAGGGGAAAAGGGGAAAUCCCUGCGGCUUCCCCGGGCAGGAAGCAAUCGGGGGGGUGGGAGUGGGGGGGGGGGUCCGGCCCCCCCCACCCCAACCAUCCCUGGUG